rnacentral:rRNA from 1 species
AGAGUUUGAUCCUGGCUCAGAACGAACGCUGGCGGCAGGCCUAACACAUGCAAGUCGAGCGCGCUUUCGGGUGAGCGGCGGACGGGUUAGUAACGCGUGGGAACGUGCCCUUCUCUACGGAAUAGCCUCUGGAAACGGAGAGUAAUACCGUAUACGCCCUUUGGGGGAAAGAUUUAUCGGAGAAGGAUCGGCCCGCGUUAGAUUAGGUAGUUGGUGGGGUAAUGGCCUACCAAGCCUACGAUCUAUAGCUGGUUUUAGAGGAUGAUCAGCAACACUGGGACUGAGACACGGCCCAGACUCCUACGGGAGGCAGCAGUGGGGAAUCUUAGACAAUGGGGGCAACCCUGAUCUAGCCAUGCCGCGUGAGUGAUGAAGGCCUUAGGGUCGUAAAGCUCUUUCGCCUGUGAUGAUAAUGACAGUAGCAGGUAAAGAAACCCCGGCUAACUCCGUGCCAGCAGCCGCGGUAAUACGGAGGGGGUUAGCGUUGUUCGGAAUUACUGGGCGUAAAGCGCGCGUAGGCGGAUUAGAAAGUUGGGGGUGAAAUCCCGGGGCUCAACCUCGGAACUGCCUCCAAAACUGCUAGUCUAGAGUUCGAGAGAGGUGAGUGGAAUUCCGAGUGUAGAGGUGAAAUUCGUAGAUAUUCGGAGGAACACCAGUGGCGAAGGCGGCUCACUGGCUCGAUACUGACGCUGAGGUGCGAAAGUGUGGGGAGCAAACAGGAUUAGAUACCCUGGUAGUCCACACCGUAAACGAUGAAUGCCAGUCGUCGGGUAGUAUACUGCUCGGUGACACACCUAACGGAUUAAGCAUUCCGCCUGGGGAGUACGGUCGCAAGAUUAAAACUCAAAGGAAUUGACGG